UUUUUUUAUAAAUAUACUUUUUGUUUUUUUAUAAAAAUUGAUCUUAGUUUGAAACUAAGGGAGUAUACAUGAGAGAGCUUCCAGACUUAAAGUUCAUUCGGAUAGAAGAGUACAGACUGCGGCGGAGGAGAAAACAACUUUCAAUCCAGCUAUUACAUAUAGAUCGACUCCUCAAUUUUUCUCAAGGUUAAACUAUACGUUAUAUUGGAUAAGCAAAAGGAACUAAUAAACUCUAAUUUUCUGACGUCUCCGAUUCCUAUGUGUGCCUACACACACAAAGAAAAUGGACGAAUUUAUGGAUGACAUGCAAAGAAUGCUGAAUGAUUAGACAUUUCCUAUCACAACUAGUUGGCCUGAAGCUCUGAAGGUGCAGUUUGUUUCUGCUCUAGCUAGCUUAUUUCUUGGUUGAUGGAGUCAUGGAAGAGAGGUUCAGAGAACUUCAGACAUCGGCUCAUUGAUCUGCACUCCUCUCGUUGGCAUUCUACCGCCUAACAUAUCAUGGAUGAUGAUGUAAUUGGCCAUGUGUUC
rnacentral:lncRNA from 1 species